UCUAAAGCUUGAUUAGUACGAGAAUUCUGUUAUCUAAAGUUGGGUUACUGCAUAUUUACCUCACUAGCAAUCUAAUUUCAUGUUAUGUUGCAGUGGAGAUAUGUAGGCUGCUAUUGAUAGUGUAUCAAAGGCUUCUCAAGGUAAUGAAUGAAGUAUUGGCGAUCAACCCCAGUUUUGCAUGUCUGCACAGUACUG